AGGAAAAAAUUAAGCACAUGAUGCGUGUUGGGGCUUCAGGACAAUACGAGGGAAUUUGGGUUUUCAUUCGGCUUAUGUCCACAAAGAACCAGCAUGCACAACCAGCCACCCUUGCUUGAGUCCUCGGAAGCAAGAAGAGCGAACAAAUAGAAAAGCAGUUCAGCCAACUAAAAACAAGGGGAAACCUUUCAAACAAGGGCAACAAAUGGCCUGGGGGAGAGUCUCUAGCCCGAGUCACACAGUGGCUCCACGGACCCCACAGCAGCUGGUUCCAGAGCACACAGUGACCGUUACGGCUCGUGCAUGCAUAUAACUGGGAACCCCACUGACACAGGGCAGGUGUUUCAAACAGCAUGAUCCAUAGACAUACGUAACCAGAAAACGUAGUUCAGAGCCCAGUUCAGAGACACAACACAGAAAGUUACUAAUUGU